GUGCUUGCUUCAGCAGCACGUGUCCUAAAAUUGGAACCAUACAGAGAAGAUUGGCAUGGCCUCUGCAUAAGGAUCAUAUGUAAAUUUAUGAAGUGCUCCAUUUAAAU
rnacentral:snRNA from 1 species